AGAGUUUGAUCCUGGCUCAGGAUUAACGUUGGCGGCAUGCCUAACACAUGCAAGUCGAAAGCCGACUUGUCGGCUUGGCGGACGGCUGAGUAACGCGUGGGAACCUACCUUUGGGUCGGGCAUAACCCCGGGAAACCGGGGAUAAUUCCCGAUACGCCUCCGGGUAAAAGAUUUAUCGCCCGAAGAGGGGCCUGCGUCCGAUUAGCUUGUUGGUGGGGUAAAGGCCUACCAAGGCUCUGAUCGGUAGGGGGCUUGAGAGGGUGACCCCCCAGACUGGGACUGAGACACGGCCCAGACUCCUACGGGAGGCAGCAGUGGGGAAUCUUCCGCAAUGGGCGAAAGCCUGACGGAGCAAUGCCGCGUGCAGGAGGACGGCCUUCGGGCUGUAAACUGCUUUUUUACGGGAAGAUUAUGACGGUACCGUAAGAAUAAGAGCUUGCUAACUACGUGCCAGCAGCAGCGGUAAUACGUAGAGCUCAAACGUUAUCCGGAUUAACUGGGUGUAAAGGGUCCGCAGGCGGACCUGUAAGUCGAACAUUAAAUACCUCGGCUCAACCGAGGACAAGUGUUGGAAACUGCAGGUCUAGAGACCGGGAGAGGUUGAUGGAACUCUUGGAGUAGGGGUAAUAUCCGUUGAUACCAAGAGGAACACCAAAGGCGAAGGCAGUCAACUGGCCCGGUUCUGACGCUCAGGGACGAAAGCGUGGGGAGCGAACGGGAUUAGAUACCCCGGUAGUCCACGCCCUAAACGAUGAAUGCUAGACAUUGGUGGCAUCGACCCCCUCAGUGUCGCAGCUAACGCGUUAAGCAUUCCACCUGGGGAGUACGGUCGCAAGACUAAAACUCAAAGGAAUUGACGGGGACCCGCACAAGCGGUGGAGCAUGUGGUUUAAUUCGAUGCUAAGCGGAGCACCUCACCAAGGCUUGACAUCCUGGUGAAAGCUUAAAGAAAUUUAAGCCCUCCUUUUGGACACCAGUGACAGGUGCUGCACGGUUGUCGUCAGCUCGUGUCGUGAGAUGUACGGUUAAGUCCGAUAACGAGCGCAACCCCUAUUGUGUGUUGUAUUUUUCACGCGAGACUGCCGUGGUUAACACGGAGGAAGGGGGGAUGACGUCAAAUCAGCGUGGCCCUUAUGCCUGGGCGACACACGUGCUACAUGGCCAGGUCACAAUGGGUUGCGAAGCCGUAAGGGAGCUAUCUCAUCAAACUGGUCAGUUCGAUGAGGCUGCACUCGCCUCAUGAGUUGAUCGCUAGUACCGCAAUCACCUGCUCGUGAUCGUCUCGGUCUGUACCCCGCCGUCCACCACGAAGCUAGGGCGCCGAAUCCCAUCUGGCCUAGGAAUAUGAUGGGAGUCGUACAGUACGUAUCCUAGUGAAUCCGGCCGCCCGCGUCCACCAUGGGAACCUCCA
rnacentral:rRNA from 1 species